AUGUUCCACGGGGCGCAGCAGUGAGGAAUAUUGGUCAAUGGCCGGAAGGCUGAACCAGCCAAGCCGCGUGAAGGACGAAGGUGCCAAGCAUUGUAAACUUCUUUUGUCAAGGGACAAAAUCAGGCUCGAGAGCCUGACCGAGGGUACUUGAAGAAACAGCAUCGGCUAACUCCGUGCCAGCAGCCGCGGUAAUACGGAGGAUGCGAGCGUUAUCCGGAUUUAUUGGGUUUAAAGGGUGCGUAGGCGGACUGUUAAGUCAGCGGUAAAAGCUCGGGGCUCAACCCCGGCGAGCCGUCGAAACUGGC
rnacentral:rRNA from 1 species